rnacentral:rRNA from 1 species
UACGAAUCUAGGCGAGCUACUGUUAGGCGUAUAGUAGUACGAAGUAUGUGGCACAAUAGUUAUAGACCUUACAGUAGGAGUGAAAGGCUAUCAAGUCUAGGGAUAUCUUGUUAACCUUGAGAUGUAUUUAGUACUACGUCGAUUUAUUAGUGAUAAGGCUGAUAAAAUUUAUGUAACUUGAUUUUUUUUUAUUUAUUACCUAGUUUAAUCGCUAGUAGUCAUAUUUACUUAAUAUUAAUAUUUACUGAUAAUAGCAACUAAAAGUUAAUACUCAAUUAAAAUAAGUAUUUAUACUGUAAGUAUUAGUAAUUAAGGUGCUGCUGAUGAACUCGGCAAAAUUUCUUUCACCUGUUUAUCAAAAACAUCGCCAGUAGGAGUUACUAUUGGUCAAUUCUGCUCCAUGUACAAUAAAUAGCCGCAGUACCCUGACUGUGCAAAGGUAGCAUAAUCAUUUGGCUUAUAAUUGAAGUCUGGCAUGAAUGAACACAUGGGGGAAAACUCUAUUAGCGGUAAUCCGUGAAAUUACUUAGUGGUUGAAAAUUACCACAUUAAAAUAAUAGACGAGAAGACCCUAGAAAUUUUGAUGACCUGUUAGUAUAAGUUUUUGUUGGGGCAACAUAGUAGCAUUUAACCUACAUUAAUGACACGACAUGUCUGUAGUUAGAGUAAAUUACUCUAGGGAUAACAGCGUAAUUCUCCGUGAGUUUGCGACCUCGAUGUUGGACUAGGAAGCAGAUACUUAGAA